ACCGGCCCUCCCCUCUCGGCCCACCAGCUAUAUAAGCUCAGCCUCGGCCUCCAUCCUCGCCCUUUCCCCCGCAUCUCCAUCUCAUCUCUGAUUAACCCUAGGCGGCGCCUCCUCUCCUUCUUCCUCCUCCAGCCUCCCGCAACACAACGAGCUCAGCCAAGCCUCCUGCGACGACAGAGAGGCUCCGCUCAUCCAUGGCCUGGCUCCCACGGCCAUGGCCAAGGUCUCUUGAGGCUUGCCCUUGAAGACUUUGGCCAUGUCCAUGGUGGCCAUGGCAUCUUCGGAAGAUCGAGAUUGCUGCAGUUAGCAUCUCAUGUUCAUGUUUCCCCGGUCGCACAGCUCGUCAGGCGAGAGGGAUGCGCCGAUAUGUGAUUUGGACGUAGUCCACAGUUUUUUCUUCUUCCUUAUUCUUUUCUUGGGCUUCUUUUAUCCUUUCGGGCCGUCCAAUGUCGAUUUUCUUCUGGGCUUGGCCGUGGCGGCCGUAACUUGAAAUUCGGAAUGGGCUGGGCUGCUGUGUAACUGAUCUGGUUUGCUGUGGGCCGAGAUCGGCCUUCUUCGCGAAUGGCUGGGAAACCUCACUCUCUCUAUAUAUUGAUGGUCAUUUCGCCCCCUCCCCGAAACCCUAAACCGGCGGCGGAGGCUGAGAGAGUCAGGCAGCUCUCCCAGCUGCUGGAUUCGACCACUCCGAAGGCCAUGGCGCUCCGGUCUGCCGCUGGAACUGCGGCCAGGGGCGUUGGAUCUCUCCGCCAGCACUCUCUCGUGGCAACCAGGGCUGGGGAGGUUUUUCUUCCGAAAAUCUCAGCGGCCUGCUCCCCUUUCCCAUCGGGUUUCCGGUUCCUCUCCACAAAGGACCCUUCUCUUACGAUGAUUCAGGAUGCUGUCCAGGAGGGACUGAAAUCUGAUGCUCUGAAGCUCGUGGUCCAAGCUGCAGUCGAUGAGGGUCUCAAAUCGGAUGCUCUAAAGCAUACCAUUGAACUGGCAGUUCAAAAGGCAUUGAAAUUUGACGUGGAAGGACCCACGAAAGCUCAGGCCAUGGGGGUUUACAGUGCGUCCAGUUCGGCAGAUCCCCUUCCCAAGAGCGACGCAGCCUACAGCACUUCAGGAUACUGGCCGGCCGAUCCCCUUCCCAAGAGCACUAGCGCCUACUGCCUUUCUGGAUCCAGGGUUUCCAGGUCUGCGGAUCUCCUUAUCAAGAGCUCUGCUGCAUACUGCCCUUGUCUCUCCAGGGUGUCCAGGUCGCUGGUUCUUAUUCCCAAGACCUCUGCAGGGUACUUCUCUUCUGUCUCCAGGACGUGCUUUCUACCCCUGUCUGGUCCCCGUUUCUUCAGCACCCAGAAGGGUUGUGCUGACCUUGACAAGUUUGAUAAAUUCGAGAAGCUGUAUCAAAAGGAUAGAGUUCAUGUCUCGACGGGACUAGAUCGCAUAGUUGGCCUAUUGUAUGAACUGAAGGAGGAUGUCGAUCAAACCGACUUUAUUCAGAAGUGGCUUACUAACAUUGGCAAGGAGACUCUUUUACUAUCAGACAGCCAGAUUGAAGGUAUUGGUAAAGGUUGGACUUGUCUCAACUACGGCGGUGGUUUUUUUGCCUGGGGUACACUGGUUUACUUUGGCGUGAUGACAAUCAGAGAGAAUAACAUCCCCUACACGGAUUACUUUCAUUUAUUGAAUGCUGUCCGUGUCCAAGCCUUGAAUAGGGGUAUCGCCCAAUACAAAGCUGAGAAACAGGAGCUGGAGGAUGCGGUGAAUGCUAAAGCGGUGAUGGCUGCACUCGCAAAGAAGGCGGCAGAGGAUGCUGCCGCUGAGAAGAAGGCAAAGGAUGUCGAGGCUGCCGCCUCCAGGAAGGCCAAGGCGGAGCAGACAGGUGCGAAGUGGAGGUCCAAGUCAGAACAGGCUGCUGCCCUUAGAAAGGCUAAGGCGAGAGAGGUCCGUGACGCCAAUUUGACCAAGUGGAAGCAGUCCAACGCCGAGAGGAAGGAGGCGGACACAGCAAGGAAGGCAAAGGCAGCUCAGGCCGCCGCGGAAAUCAAGGCAAAGCUGAAGGAGGCCGCUGAGAAGAGGAUGGCCAAGGCUGAAAAGCUGGCUGCUGCCGUGGCGGCUGCGAGGAAGGCCAAGGCGGCUGCUAAGUCUGGUCCCAAGAAGUAGAAGUAGACAGUGUUGCUAACUUGUCUCCUGUGUCCUUUGAUCAUGUUGGGGGAUUUUUGUGCAGAGAACUACUUUGAAUCAUCAUUUCAGUGUUGGUGGAUAUCCAGUACUUCAUAGUGGGUUUGUUAGUUCCUCUGGUACUGUCUUACCGCUGGCAAGAGUGAUUUUGUUUGAGAUGAGAACCAAAGCUUUGAAAGAAUGUUUAGAUGUCAAACUGCAACCAGUAUCGACAGAGCCAUUUGUUAAUCGUUAACAACUGCCGC
rnacentral:rRNA from 1 species